GUGCCAGCCGCCGCGGUAAUACGGAGGGUGCAAGCGUUAAUCGGAAUUACUGGGCGUAAAGCGCACGCAGGCGGUUUGUUAAGUCAGAUGUGAAAUCCCCGGGCUCAACCUGGGAACUGCAUCUGAUACUGGCAAGCUUGAGUCUCGUAGAGGGGGGUAGAAUUCCAGGUGUAGCGGUGAAAUGCGUAGAGAUCUGGAGGAAUACCGGUGGCGAAGGCGGCCCCCUGGACGAAGACUGACGCUCAGGUGC
rnacentral:rRNA from 1 species